AUGGACAAGCUGAGCGUGCACCACGGGCAGCACAACGGCAUCUCCAAGCCGCCGGUGCACCACCACGGCAAGGGCGGCGGGAAGGGCAAGGGUGGCGGCAAGGGGAUCAAGGUCGUCUACAUCUCCAGCCCCAUGAUGCUCACCGCCAGCGCCGAGGAGUUCCGCGCCGUCGUGCAGGAGCUCACGGGCCGCGACUCCAACGUGGCCGACCACGACGCCCCGGGCGCCCCGUCCUACUACUCCUCCUCCUACUCCUCGUACGGGCACGCCUCCCCGACGGCGGGGGCUACGGCUGCUGCGGGCACCCGGGCUUUGCCGCCGGUGAUGGCGUCCACGGCGGACUACGCUGCCGGCGCCGGAGCCAUGCCUCCGCCGUUCCAGAGUAUGUAUGACCAAACGGGAGGCGCCGGCCUGCUUUACGGCCAAGACUACUGGUAG
rnacentral:rRNA from 1 species